UACGGAGGGGGCUAGCGUUGUUCGGAAUUACUGGGCGUAAAGCGCACGUAGGUGGCUUUGUAAGUUAGAGGUGAAAGCCCGGGGCUCAACUCCGGAAUUGCCUUUAAGACUGCAUCGCUAGAACGUCGGAGAGGUAAGUGGAAUUCCGGGUGUAGUGGUGGAAUGCGUAGAGCUCCGGAGGAACACCAGUGGCGAAGGCGGCCGCCUGGGCCAGUCCUGACGCUGAGCCGCGAAAGCGUGGGGAGCGAUCCGG
rnacentral:rRNA from 1 species